GAUGAACGCUGGCGGCGUGCCUAAUACAUGCAAGUCGAGCGAACAGACGAGGAGCUUGCUCCUCUGACGUUAGCGGCGGACGGGUGAGUAACACGUGGAUAACCUACCUAUAAGACUGGGAUAACUUCGGGAAACCGGAGCUAAUACCGGAUAACAUGUUGAACCGCAUGGUUCAACAGUGAAAGACGGUUUUGCUGUCACUUAUAGAUGGAUCCGCGCCGCAUUAGCUAGUUGGUAAGGUAACGGCUUACCAAGGCAACGAUGCGUAGCCGACCUGAGAGGGUGAUCGGCCACACUGGAACUGAGACACGGUCCAGACUCCUACGGGAGGCAGCAGUAGGGAAUCUUCCGCAAUGGGUGAAAGCCUGACGGAGCAACGCCGCGUGAGUGAAGAAGGUCUUCGGAUCGUAAAACUCUGUUAUUAGGGAAGAACAAAUGUGUAAGUAACUAUGCACGUCUUGACGGUACCUAAUCAGAAAGCCACGGCUAACUACGUG
rnacentral:rRNA from 1 species